AGUGAACGCUGGCGGUAGGCCUAACACAUGCAAGUCGAACGGCAGCACAGUAAGAGCUUGCUCUUACGGGUGGCGAGUGGCGGACGGGUGAGGAAUACAUCGGAAUCUACUUUUUCGUGGGGGAUAACGUAGGGAAACUUACGCUAAUACCGCAUACGACCUACGGGUGAAAGCAGGGGAUCUUCGGACCUUGCGCGAUUGAAUGAGCCGAUGUCGGAUUAGCUAGUUGGCGGGGUAAAGGCCCACCAAGGCGACGAUCCGUAGCUGGUCUGAGAGGAUGAUCAGCCACACUGGAACUGAGACACGGUCCAGACUCCUACGUGAGGCAGCAGUGGGGAAUAUUGGCCAAUGGGCGCAAGCCUGAUCCAGCCAUACCGCGUGGGUGGAGAAGGCCUUCGGGUUGUAAAGCCCUUUUGUUGGGAAAGAAAAGCAGCAGGUUAAUACCCCGCUGUUCUGACGGUACCCAAAGAAUAAGCACCGGCUAACUUCGUG
rnacentral:rRNA from 1 species